rnacentral:rRNA from 1 species
AGCAGCCGCGGUAAUUCCAGCUCCAAUAGCGUAUAUUAAAGUUGUUGCAGUUAAAAAGCUCGUAGUUGAAUUUCGGGAUCAAUAUAUCGGUCGUGCCUUGGUACGUACUGGUAUCAUUGGUUUCUCCUUUCUGACGAACCAUGAUGUCAUUAAUUUGGUGUUAUGGGAAGUUAGGACUGUUACUUUGAAAAAAUUAGAGUGUUUAAAGCAGGCUUUAGCUUGAAUACAUUAGCAUGGAAUAACGAAAUAGGACGCUUGAUUCUAUUUUGUUGGUUUCUAGGAUCGACGUAAUGAUUAAUAGGGAUAGUUGGGGGCAUUAGUAUUCAAUUGUCAGAGGUGAAAUUCUUGGAUUUAUUGAAGACUAACUACUGCGAAAGCAUUUGCCAAGGAUGUUUUCAUUAAUCAAGAACGAAAGUUAGGGGAUCGAAGACGAUCAGAUACCGUCGUAGU